rnacentral:rRNA from 1 species
UGGCGGACGGGUGAGUAACACGUGGGAACGUGCCCUUUGGUUCGGAACAACUCAGGGAAACUUGGGCUAAUACCGGAUGUGCCCUUCGGGGGAAAGAUUUAUCGCCAUUGGAGCGGCCCGCGUCGGAUUAGCUAGUUGGUGGGGUAAAGGCCCACCAAGGCGACGAUCCGUAGCUGGUCUGAGAGGAUGAUCAGCCACAUUGGGACUGAGACACGGCCCAAACUCCUACGGGAGGCAGCAGUGGGGAAUCUUGCGCAAUGGGCGAAAGCCUGACGCAGCCAUGCCGCGUGAAUGAUGAAGGUCUUAGGAUUGUAAAAUUCUUUCACCGGGGACGAUAAUGACGGUACCCGGAGAAGAAGCCCCGGCUAACUUCGUGCCAGCAGCCGCGGUAAU